CCUACGGGUGGCAGCAGUGAGGAAUAUUGGUCAAUGGGCGAGAGCCUGAACCAGCCAAGUCGCGUGAGGGAGUACUGCCCUAUGGGUUGUAAACCUCUUUUGUCGGGGAGCAAAAGCCGGACGUGUCCGGCUGUGAGAGUACCCGAAGAAAAAGCAUCGGCUAACUCCGUGCCAGCAGCCGCGGUAAUACGGAGGAUGCGAGCGUUAUCCGGAUUUAUUGGGUGUAAAGGGCGCGCAGGCGGAUUGUAAAGUCAUAGGUCAAAGCGUGGGGCUCAACUUCGUUAAGCCAGUGAUACUAGAAUACUAGAGUAUGAGAGAGGAAUGCAGAAUGCGUGGUGUAGCGGUGAAAUGCGUAGAUAUCAGGAGGAAUACCGUUAGCGAAGGCGGCAAUCUGGC
rnacentral:rRNA from 1 species